rnacentral:rRNA from 1 species
GACGAACGCUGGCGGCGUGCUUAACACAUGCAAGUCGAGCGGUAAGGCCCUUUGGGGUACACGAGCGGCGAACGGUGAGUAACACGUGGGUGACCUGCCCUCAGCUCUGGGAUAAGCCUGGGAAACUGGGUCUAAUACUGGAUAUGACCUUUCCUCGCAUGGGGUUGGUGGAAAGUUUUUCGGCUGGGGAUGGGCCCGCGGCCUAUCAGCUUGUUGGUGGGGUGAUGGCCUACCAAGGCGACGACGGGUAGCCGGCCUGAGAGGGCGACCGGCCACACUGGGACUGAGACACGGCCCAGACUCCUACGGGAGGCAGCAGUGGGGAAUAUUGCGCAAUGGGCGGAAGCCUGACGCAGCGACGCCGCGUGGGGAUGAC